CCUGGGGUGGGCAUAGCUCAGUGGUAGAGCAGCUGUUUUGUGUGCACAAGGUCCCAGGCUCAAUCCCUGGCAUCUCUAGGU